rnacentral:misc_RNA from 1 species
GUAUUAACUUUUGUUACCCCGUGGGGCGUUUCACAUGCGUUAUAAGACAGGCUGUGGUGUGUUUGGGCGGAGAGCGCCCCGAUCCGACGUGGAAACGUCGGACUUUUAGCCAAAGGAGGGCGCUCGCCUAAGGGUGCACAGGUGUUAAUGUAGAGUGACGGGGGCGCAGCACAUGCCCAAAGGAGCCAGCAUCAAACCCCACCCACAUUUGACUACGUUAAUGAUCCUUCCGCAGGUUCACCUACGGAAA